rnacentral:rRNA from 1 species
GAGACCCGUACCUACAAUUGCUAACAGGGAAGUUUUUCUGACUGAGCACAUUGUAGGGACUGCCCGGGAAACCGGGAGGAAGGUGCGGGCUACGGUAGGUCAGCAUGCCCCGAAUUACCCGGGCUACACGCGGGCUACAAUGGACAGGACAAUGGGAAUCGACACCGAGAGGUGAAGGCAGUCCCCUAAACCUGCCCUUAGUUCGGAUUGUGGGCUGCAACUCGCCCACAUGAAGCUGGAAUCCGUAGUAAUCGCGGAUCAACAUUCCGCGGUGAAUAU